rnacentral:rRNA from 1 species
GAUGAACGCUGGCGGCGUGCCUAAUACAUGCAAGUCGAGCGAACGGACGAGAAGCUUGCUUUUCUGAUGUUAGCGGCGGACGGGUGAGUAACACGUGGAUAACCUACCUAUAAGACUUGGAUAACUUCGUGAAACCGGAGCUAAUACCGUAUAAUAUUUUGAACCGCAUGGUUCAAAAGUGAAAGACGGUCUUUCUGUCUCUUAUAGAUGUAUCCGCGCUGCAUUAGCUAGAUGGUAAGUUAACGGCUUACCAAGGCAACGAUGCAUAGCCGACAUGAGAGGGUGAUCGGCCAGACGGGAACGGAGACACGGUCAAGAAGACGACGGGAGGCAGAAGAAGGGAAGAUUACGCAAUGGGCGAAAGCAUGACGGAGCAACGCCGCGUGAGUGAUGAAGGUCUUCGGAUCGUAAAACUCGGUUAUUAGGGAAGAACAUAUGUGUAAGUAAAUGUGCAAAUAUUGACGGUAAAUAAUCAGAAAGCAACGGCUAACUACGUG